rnacentral:rRNA from 1 species
UACGUAGGUGGCAAGCGUUAUCCGGAAUUAUUGGGCGUAAAGCGCUCGCAGGCGGUUUCUUAAGUCGGAUGUGAAAUCUCCGGGCUCAACCCGGAAAUGGCAUUGGAAACUACCUUGCUGGAGGAUUUGAGGGGGGAUUGGAAUACUUGGUGUAGCAGUGAAAUGCGUAGAUAUCAAGUGGAACACCAGUGGCGAAGGCGAAUCCCUGGAAAAUACCUGACACUGAGGCACGAAAGCUAGGGGAGCAAACAGG